CACGUAGGGGGCGAGCGUUGUCCGGAUUCAUUGGGCGUAAAGGGCGCGCAGGCGGCCCGGAAAGUCGGAUGUGAAACUCGGGCUCAACCCGAGCGUGCACCCGAUACUGCCGGGCUUGAGGCAGGUAGGGGAGAUCGGAAUUCUGGUGUAGCGGUGAAAUGCGCAGAUAUCAGGAGGAACACCGGUGGCGAAGGCGGAUCUCUGGGCCUGUCCUGACGCUGAGGCGCGAAAGCUAGGGGAGCGAACAGG
rnacentral:rRNA from 1 species